CGGGACGGGUGAGUAACGCGUGGAUAACCUGCCUUUCACAGGGGGAUAACAGCUGGAAACGGCUGCUAAUACCGCAUGAGCCUCUUUUGUCGCAUGAGAAGAGAGGGAAAGAGAAAUCGGUGAGAGAUGAAUCCGCGUCCGAUUAGCUAGUUGGAGGGGUAACAGCCCACCAAGGCGACGAUCGGUAGCCGACCUGAGAGGGUGGACGGCCACAUUGGGACUGAGACACGGCCCAAACUCCUACGGAAGGCAGCAG
rnacentral:rRNA from 1 species